AGCAGCCGCGGUAAUUCCAGCUCCAAUAGCGUAUAUUAAAGUUGUUGCAGUUAAAAAGCUCGUAGUUGAAUUUCGGGAUCAGUACGCUGGUCGUGCCUUCGGUAUGUACUGGUGUCACUGAUUCCUCCCUUCUGACGAACCGUUAUGCCAUUUAUUUGGUGUGGCGGGGAAUCAGGACUGUUACUUUGAAAAAAUUAGAGUGUUUAAAGCAGGCUCGCGCUUGAAUACAUUAGCAUGGAAUAAUGAAAUAGGACGUUUGAUUCUAUUUUGUUGGUUUCUAGGAUCGACGUAAUGAUUAAUAGGGAUAGUUGGGGGCAUUAGUAUUCAAUUGUCAGAGGUGAAAUUCUUGGAUUUAUUGAAGACUAACUACUGCGAAAGCAUUUGCCAAGGAUGUUUUCAUUAAUCAAGAACGAAAGUUAGGGGAUCGAAGACGAUCAGAUACCGUCGUAG
rnacentral:rRNA from 1 species